UUGAUGGCCUGCUAUUAAUGCACAUACAACAAUCUGAUAAUGGUCGUUGGUUAUAUUUACUAUACUUUGCUGUGUGUGAGUUACCAGUUCUGCUAAAAUUACACCACUGUCUAUUCUUUUUCAUAUGUGCUUUGAGUCGGUUUUCCGAAAACCCUAUUUAUUCAUCGGACAAAGAACAACAUUCGAACCGGACUACGCGCAAGAAGAAAUAGAAAAGAGGAAGGAGACCAUGUUAAAAGCAUAAAUCCUGGAUACCUGUCAUAGGAGCAGAACUGCUUAAUACAGUAAAGCAAAUUGGCUACAAAAUUGCUUUCUCUAUUUAAAAUUAUAUGUUUAUCAUGCAUCCCACAAACUCAGUUACAUAUAUAUGUUACAGCAACAUAGUCACAUACUUUGCUUUAAAUAUUGCAAAUGCUCCGAAGACAUUUUUAUUAUACUAUGCAGUGACAUACAUAUAUUGUUUAU